GCAAGUCGAGCGGAAGGCCCUUCGGGGUACUCGAGCGGCGAACGGGUGAGUAACACGUGAGCAACCUGCCCCAAGCUUUGGGAUAACCCUCGGAAACGGGGGCUAAUACCGAAUAUUACUUCUGGCCGCAUGGCUGGUGGUGGAAAGUUUUUCGGCUUGGGAUGGGCUCGCGGCCUAUCAGCUUGUUGGUGGGGUGAUGGCCUACCAAGGCGACGACGGGUAGCCGGCCUGAGAGGGCGACCGGCCACACUGGGACUGAGACACGGCCCAGACUCCUACGGGAGGCAGCAGUGGGGAAUAUUGCACAAUGGGCGGAAGCCUGAUGCAGCGACGCCGCGUGAGGGAUGACGGCCUUCGGGUUGUAAACCUCUUUCAGCAGGGACGAAGCGAGAGUGACGGUACCUGCAGAAGAAGCACCGGCCAACUACGUGCCAGCAGCCGCGGUAAGACGUAGGGUGCGAGCGUUGUCCGGAUUUAUUGGGCGUAAAGAGCUCGUAGGCGGCUUGUCGCGUCGACCGUGAAAACUUGGGGCUCAACCCCAAGCCUGCGGUCGAUACGGGCAGGCUAGAGUUCGGUAGGGGAGACUGGAAUUCCUGGUGUAGCGGUGAAAUGCGCAGAUAUCAGGAGGAACACCGGUGGCGAAGGCGGGUCUCUGGGCCGAUACUGACGCUGAGGAGCGAAAGCGUGGGGAGCGAACAGGAUUAGAUACCCUGGUAGUCCACGCUGUAAACGUUGGGCGCUAGGUGUGG
rnacentral:rRNA from 1 species